CUAACUUGCUGCAAUCUCUGGUGCAACUACAUAGGAAGCAAAGAACAGAUGGUAAUCAGUCAACAUGGAAAAAUGGAGAAGGAAGCUGAUGAAUCGUCUGCCCUGGUGGAAUAGAGAAAUCUUCGUGAAGGAAUUAACCACGUGGCCAUAAGGAGCGAUUAAAAAAAUUCUAACCCCACCGCAUUCAACAGUUUGCCUGCAGACAAGAUGACAAAUCCGGAAAGUUCCCAGACUACACUUAAAGCACAACAGUAUUGAUUCCUGCACAAAGAGGAGGCAGAGGCCCCUUACAGAAGGAGAGAGGAGUUCAUUGACCAGAGAGAAGCAGGCUGAGUGCACUCUUUAUCAGAAGACUGAACAUCCCCGUUGUGCAAGACUGAAGAAUUCUGGAAUGUAAUCCAGGAGAAUGACGAAUGUCAUGCUACACCCAGACUACCCUUACAAUUGCAAAUAAUCUAUUGAAGCCAAAAGUAGGAACAGGAGUGAGUUACAAAAUCAAGGCAAGAUGACAUUUUACUUUGAUUAAAUUGCCAUCUCAUUACCAAAGCUGAAUAUUGGGAGCCAAUAAGAGUGCAAACAUUCAAUUCUCUCAACAAGACUCAGUCCACAUGGCAACUUGGGUCCUAUGUGGAACAAUUGUCACUUCUAUCAUAUGUGUGAACAAUGAGCUAUACUGCCAUAACUGUAAACUUAUACAGAAACUGCUCCCUCACUGCACACAGCUAAGGAAAAUAUGAUAUCACCAGCUACACAGAAUGACCAUCACUCCCAGAGGUGCACUGCUCCCCAACAAGGACAUCGGAUAAGCAACAACAUUUACCAUGGCAACAGCACUCACUACAAGAACAACAACCACAAGACGUGAAACAUGACCCCAGGAAUGGUCAUACAUCAGAUAAGCGGCUAAUGGCAAUGCACAUUGGAAGACCUGCAUGAAGUAAUGAUUAUAUAGGCUAUGCAUGAGCAGAGACUGAUGAAAGUGAAACUGACUAGAAUCUACCAAGUUGUAUUCAUGAAUGGUAACUUGUCUUGUUACCUACAAACAUUGGGUAACUUAGGUAUGUUGUAGCUGCAAAAGUAGUGCAUGCAUUUUUUAAGAAAAUGAGACAUAGAACAAAUUGGAUAGCUACUUUAAAGAUUUGAUACAAUGUGGCAAAUGUCUUCCCUGUAAAUUACAAAGUUUCUAUGAACAACAGGAUACUGUCGGUAUACAGGGAAUGUCUCUAUAGAAGUCUAAAUUUCAGAUACUCUGUACCUAUGCUAACAAAUAUUGAGUCCUUUGUUUCUAAUAAAUAGCUGGCUAAUCAAUUGGGAAGCAAUAAAUGAUUAUUGCAGGUAUACUGCCAUUGCUUUUUCCCUCCAUAUUGCAUUGUUUUUCUGAAAUUAUAUUUCAUAUUAC